AUUGAACGCUGGCGGCGGGCCUAACACAUGCAAGUCGAGCGGAUGAAGGGAGCUUGCUCCUGGAUUCAGCGGCGGACGGGUGAGUAAUGCCUAGGAAUCUGCCUGGUAGUGGGGGAUAACGUCCGGAAACGGGCGCUAAUACCGCAUACGUCCUGAGGGAGAAAGUGGGGGAUCUUCGGACCUCACGCUAUCAGAUGAGCCUAGGUCGGAUUAGCUAGUUGGUGGGGUAAAGGCCUACCAAGGCGACGAUCCGUAACUGGUCUGAGAGGAUGAUCAGUCACACUGGAACUGAGACACGGUCCAGACUCCUACGGGAGGCAGCAGUGGGGAAUAUUGGACAAUGGGCGAAAGCCUGAUCCAGCCAUGCCGCGUGUGUGAAGAAGGUCUUCGGAUUGUAAAGCACUUUAAGUUGGGAGGAAGGGCAGUAAGUUAAUACCUUGCUGUUUUGACGUUACCAACAGAAUAAGCACCGGCUAACAUCGUG
rnacentral:rRNA from 1 species